UACAGAGGUGGCAAGCGUUGUUCGGAAUUACUGGGCGUAAAGGGCGCGUAGGCGGUUCGAUAAGUCCCGUGUGAAAUCCCUCGGCUCAACUGAGGAACUGCACGGGAAACUGACGGGCUUGAGUUCGGGAGAGGGAAGCGGAAUUCCGGGUGUAGCGGUGAAAUGCGUAGAUAUCAGGAGGAACACCUGCGGUGUAGACGGCUUACUGGACCAUAACUGACGCUGAGGCACGAAAGCGUGGGUAGCAAACAGG
rnacentral:rRNA from 1 species